UGAUACUAUACCAAACUUUGGAUGUUUUUCAUAACAUUACCACUCUAUACGAAGAGAUAAAGUCUUUGUUGUUCGAGGACGACGCACCACUUAAUUUCAUCUCCAACCCGGUAACAAGCUUUCUCGAAAACUACUUCAACCGGGUAAUAAACUUUCUCGGAAACUGCUUCAACUCGGUAACAAGCUUUCUCGGAAACUACUUUAACCUGGUAACAAGCUUUCUAGGAAACUGCUUCAACUUGGUAACAAACUUCUUCAACCCGGAAAACAAGAGCUUCGAGUAGUUUUAUUUUCCUCUUUCUUCUCAUUUUUGUUCACGUCAGCACUGCCCAAGACUCUGUUGGCUUUCAAAAUAUGUUCUCCAAAAGAUUACCAAGUAGGUUUUGUUUUCAUCUCUAAGAUUGUUUUCAAAUUAAUAUUA